AAAAAAAAUCCUUUAACCCAUUAUUAUUUGUCGUCGUCUCUAUCCUUGAGGAAGCUAUUCUCUUACUCACAACAAAUAAGAAACGUACUCCACUUAAACGGAAGAACAAGAAGCAAAUCAAACAUCUUCAAUCCAUUUUUUUGUUUUAAGUUUAAUUUAGUACGUUUUGCUCUCUUUUCUUUAUUUCAUCUUCAAGAGUUAGAACUGAUUCUGUAAGAGCAGAUUUGAUGAAGAGCUUAAGGGUAAUUAGGUAACUAUAUCUGACACUAGAAAUAAAAAUCCUGGAAUUGAUUUUGAUCUGAUGCAGAAGCUCAAAUUUGUAGCUUUAAGUGGACUCGCGUUUGAGGUUAGAAUCACGAUUGAGAGAUUUGAUUUUGCAAUCAUCCAAACAUAAAACAAAAGGGUUGGAAUCGCGUUUCGGUUUGGGAACUCGCGUUUGAAGCCAUAAAACGUGGAACCAAACGAGCGCAAAAACCAUGAAAAUCAAAUUUCAAUCAAAACAACAAUGAUUCAAUUCCAAAGAACCUUCUUCUUCACCAACACCACUUCUUCUCCCACUCUUCGCAACUGCAUGGUAAUAAUANNNNNNNNNNNNNNNNNNNNNNNNNNNNNNNNNUUAAUUUUCAUUUCAAUUUAAUUACUUCAUCAUUAUGUCUUAAUUCAUUAUUAAACUGUCUCGCAGUUUCAACUCAGGUCGUUACACAAUCCCUUAAUCUCGCCGCACUUACCCUGGCUCGUGAAUUUAACUACCAAAGCCGUUCAACACCGUAACUGUUUCUCGUUUCGCUCUUUUAGUGUAACUAACUUCAAUACUUUGAAAUCUGUUACGUCCAUUAGCGGUUUCGGUUUACCGUUUUGGGUGAAUGGCGUUGGAAGGAGUUUACGGUAUUUGUCUGCUGUGCCGGAGAAGAAGAGUAAAUGGA
rnacentral:lncRNA from 1 species